GGACGAACGCUGGCGGCGUGCCUAAUGCAUGCAAGUUGAGCGCUGAAGGUUGGUACUUGUACCGACUGGAUGAGCAGCGAACGGGUGAGUAACGCGUGGGGAAUCUGCCUUUGAGCGGGGGACAACAUUUGGAAACGAAUGCUAAUACCGCAUAAAAACUUUAAACACAAGUUUUAAGUUUGAAAGAUGCAAUUGCAUCACUCAAAGAUGAUCCCGCGUUGUAUUAGCUAGUUGGUGAGGUAAAGGCUCACCAAGGCGAUGAUACAUAGCCGACCUGAGAGGGUGAUCGGCCACAUUGGGACUGAGACACGGCCCAAACUCCUACGGGAGGCAGCAGUAGGGAAUCUUCGGCAAUGGACGAAAGUCUGACCGAGCAACGCCGCGUGAGUGAAGAAGGUUUUCGGAUCGUAAAACUCUGUUGGUAGAGAAGAACGUUGGUGAGAGUGGAAAGCUCAUCAAGUGACGGUAACUACCCAGAAAGGGACGGCUAACUACGUG
rnacentral:rRNA from 1 species